ensembl:lncRNA
AUCACUAAUGCAUAAUAGUGCUGUAGAUAGGCUUCAUAAAGCAUCACUAAUGCAUACUAAAUGACACAGUUAUCCCAGAGGGAAAUAAUGUUUACAAAAGAAACUUGGGUGGAACUCUUUGGAAGAAUAAAAGACUCAACCCAAAACAUGGCCGGUCGUGUGUGUCUUUUUUCUUUAAGGAAUAGUUAGAGAAUAACAUUCAUGUGUCUAUAAGGCACAAUAUUGUGCUAUAUAAAUAAAAUUCAUUAUUAUUUUUAUUAUUAUAAACCAUGCUGUGUUUGUAAGUGUCAUUGUGGCCAUCUUAUUGAGCUCCGCAACGAGAGUUCAGUGGCAGAGGAAAAACCUCCUUGUAGAAUGAUAUGUUGGCCACUAGAGAGCGCACAGGCUUCAUGUGCUUACCCGUUUACCUGAAUCAUGUAGACCCAUCUGGACAUGAACGGCAAGCUUGCUCUGUUCAACUUUGAAUUGGUAUUUACAGCUGUUGUAUAAAUAGUUACAUAACCUAGAGUAGUUCAACAGUAAAAAUAUAUUUAUUGUAAUAUGAUGCUUUUGUUUUUAUCUGAUGUAGGCUACACCACACACCUAUAGUAGGCCUAUAGCUUAAUUUGUGUCUCCGAACUAGUCCCACUUGCUGAUAGAGGGCGUAAAUACCCUGGGCUGUAUCUCUUAAAUGAAUGAAGCUAAAUACUUCAGAUUGCCGUUGAAAGAAAAACACGCUUUAAGAAGUCUGUUGCCUCACUUGAAGUGGAUGGUGUCCAGAGACGGGACGCUGUAGCUUACUGCCGGCACGCAGGUUGUGUUGUAACUGUAAGCCGAUUACUGAUACUGUCAAAGUAGCCUGCGCUGGUUGAUGUCCUGUUCGCUUGAUCAAGACGUGUCUCACCGAGGUUUUUUAAUUGUUUUUUUUAAUUAUUAUUAACUUGAGCAAAAUGCCACUUUUUAUUAACCGGGAUCAGAUAUUUGCACACCAGGUGCACCUGUUGGAGCAUAAGCUUAGGAGUAAAGAGGAGCGAAUCUUGGAGCUGGAGACCGAGAAUGCUCUUCUGCACCUGAGGUUGGCAGAGUGUCUGGGUCGCCUGCGUUGGGUCCAUGAGGGUCAACGUGAGACCCAGAGGCAGAGCCAGCUCCAGAGGACUGUCCAGAAGAGCGUCCACCUCGCCCUGGGCAAACUGCUGUCCCAAGUGCAGGUGCUCAAGCAGGAUCUGAGGGAGGUGUGUGUGUGUGUGUGUGUGUGUGUGUGUGUGUGUGAGUGUGCGCAGGUGCUGAAGCAGGAUCUGAGGGAGGUGUUUGGCGUGUUGUGUGCAGGUGUUCAAGCAGGAUCUGAGGGAGGUGUCUGUGUGUGUGUGUGUGCGUGUGCGUGUGCGUGUGCGUGUG